rnacentral:rRNA from 1 species
CAGUCGCCGCGGGAAUACGGAGGGUGCAAGCGUUAAUCGGAAUUACUGGGCGUAAAGCGUGCGUAGGCGGUUCGUUAAGUCUGUUGUGAAAGCCCCGGGCUCAACCUGGGAAUGGCAAUGGAUACUGGCGAGCUAGAGUGUGUCAGAGGAUGGUGGAAUUCCCGGUGUAGCGGUGAAAUGCGUAGAGAUCGGGAGGAACGUCAGUGGCGAAGGCGGCCAUCUGGGACAACACUGACGCUGAGGCACGAAAGCGUGGGGAGCAAACAGGAUUAGAUACCCCAGUAGUCCCUGUCUCUUAUAC